GACGAACGCUGGCGGCGUGCUUAACACAUGCAAGUCGAACGGAAAGGCCCUGCUUUUGUGGGGUGCUCGAGUGGCGAACGGGUGAGUAACACGUGAGUAACCUGCCCUUGACUUUGGGAUAACUUCAGGAAACUGGGGCUAAUACCGGAUAGGAGCUCCUGCUGCAUGGUGGGGGUUGGAAAGUUUCGGCGGUUGGGGAUGGACUCGCGGCUUAUCAGCUUGUUGGUGGGGUAGUGGCUUACCAAGGCUUUGACGGGUAGCCGGCCUGAGAGGGUGACCGGCAACAUUGGGAUAGAGAUACGGCCAGACUCCUACGGGAGGCAGCAGUGGGGAAUAUUGCACAAUGGGCGGAAGCCUGAUGCAGCAACGCCGCGUGCGGGAUGACGGCCUUCGGGUUGUAAACCGCUUUCGCCUGUGACGAAGCGUGAGUGACGGUAAUGGGUAAAGAAGCACCGGCUAACUACGUG
rnacentral:rRNA from 1 species